UCUGGACUUUUUGCACAUAUCUACUUUAUGACACCUGAUUUAUCUAAUUUUUUUAUAAUCUUUAGAUAUAUAACACAGGAGGCAAGUCUUACACUUAAAGGACCUUGGGAUAGCCAGCUGUGGCCCUCAAAAGAUAAAUCAACCAAGCAGUAUAUUGUCUCUUGUAUGGAGAAGGCCAUACCAGCCUUCUGUGCCAUGGGUUAUACCCAUGUCAGGCAGUGUUGUGCUAAGGGAAGGACUGCAUGGAACUACAUUUUUACUUAACACUGAUCAUGUUUUUAUACAUCAAAUUUCCUCUUUACCUAUUGGAUGAAUCUUAAAGUAAUAAACCCUGCCAGCACUCCCCAGAUAGUAUGAGUCCCUCCUUCUAAAUUUCCAAGCUCCUAACAUUCCAAAGAGGGUUUGUUCAUUGCUCUUCCUGAUCUUUAAAAUUGUUUACAUCCAGAGUGCAUAUUAGAUCAUCUCUGUUUGGAGCUCAAGUAUGAACCCUCUUAAAAACAUGAAACAUAAACAUUCAAUUACUAAUUAGCUGUUUCCUGUUCCUAAUGAAGUGAACACGCUGGGUUUGUAUUAAAAUUCAGCUACUGUACUUCUCUGUUUAUGGUUCCAGAUGUUUUUGUUUUAUCUAGGAGUUUGCUUUGACAGCUACUACUAAAUGAUAAAUCACUCAUAUUAUAGCUGAAAUGCAUUUUGAAAUUGAAAUGUGGCAAACUUUGAGAUUGCUCCAAGGAUCAGUGUCAGUUAGCAGGUCAAUAUUGGCUCCUACUUUUUGGUCAUUUAGCAUUGCCAUAUGUAAAACAAUAACAGAAUAGGUGUCAGCUUUAUACAGCAUGCUACACAGGAGUGUAUUUUGCUACUGAUCUUAACAUUGGGGAAAAAUUUACUACUAUGAAAUCUCAAUUUGUUGUAUGCUGGGGAAAAAAUUGAUACAUAUAAAUAUUGUUUUCUUGCUAACCUAGGUUUUUUUAAAAUUCUUUUUUAUUUUCAAGUUACUAUAGAAACUGUUCCUGAUAGGCCUUAUAAGCAGGGACAUUUAAUGAAGUGUGUGGGCAGAUAUGUUUGUCUCUUUUAAUACAGACAUGAAUUACAAUAAUAAAUGAGAUUUUCAGUAACUGCAUUUUUCUGAAUGAAGAAUAUUGAUUGUCUUUUGGCACUCACUGCUGUGCUUAUGUACCUUUUUAGAGGGCACUAUUUGUUUUGCCAUUGCUUUCAAGUUUAUAAUGUUCACAUUUUGUACUGCAUGACUUGAGCUUUACUAUAUUGUAUAAAUUUGAAUCCUGGUAAAAUAACUGUCUUG
rnacentral:lncRNA from 1 species